UAAAAUUGGCAUUGGAAUGGUAGAAAUAUGAUGAUGUGCCUGAACCCACCUAUCACCUGAUCAAUCCACGACUUGUGCAUCCCGCUUCUCUGGCCAGCGUAGUGCCCGUCCGCUCAUUUCGUGGGUUGACUUAGGCAAACGGAGUUCAUUCCUAGUCUAAGAUCAUACCGGAUCGAGGGUUGCAAUAGCAGGACCACAGCAGGAUCGACAGUACGCAGAGGGGGAUCGGGCCGAUCCCCAGCUUGCACAUUUUGCCUCUUUGGCUGGCUGAGCACCCGCACGCUCGUUUCAUGGGUUGACUUAGGCAUAGGGAGUUCAUCCCCAGUCUAAGCAAGUCUCGUUCAUUCCUAGUCUAAGAUCGAACCAGACCGAGGGUUGCAGUAGCAGGAUCGAUAGCACGCAGAGGGGGACCGAGCCGAUCCUCGACUUGCGCAUUCUGCCUCUCCGAUCGGUUGAGUGCACGCACGCUCAUUUCGUGGGUUGGCUUAGGCAUACAGAUUUCAUUCCAUGUCUAAGCCCCAUCUGGACCGAGAGUUGUGGCAGCGGGAUCGACAGCACGCAGAGGGGGACUGGGGUGAUCCCCAGCUUGUGCAUUAAGCCUUUCUGACCAGCUCAGCGCCCGCAUGCUCAUUUUGUGGGUUGACAUAGGCAUACGGAGUUCAUUCCCAGUCUAGGCAUACGGAGUUCCUUCCCUGUCUAAGAUCAAACCGACAGCGGGAUUGACAACAGCACGCAGUGGGGGAUCGGGCCGAUCCUUAGCUUGCACAUCCUGCCUCUUCGACCGACUGAGCGCCCGCACACUCAUUUCGUGGGUUUACUUAGGCAUGCAAAGUUCAUUCCCAAUCUAAGCCCCAACCGGACCGAGCGACCCACAGCGGGAUCGGUAGCAUGUAGAGGGUAGCCGGGUCGAUCCUCGGCUUGCACAUUCUGGCUCUUCGGCCGGCUAAGCGCCCGCACAUUCGUUUCAUGGGUUGACUUAGGCAUACGUAGUGCAUUCCCAGUCUUGACCAACCAAGGGCCGGAGCUAUCGAGAACCUAUCCCUUAUAUUGGCCCCCUAUAGAUAACGGGUUGUCUUGCCACGAAACUUCACAUGAAGGCUUAGGGGACCAUUGUAUGAAUUCACAAGCCAUAAAAAUGGCAUUGGCACGGCAGAAAUAUGAAGAUGUGCCUGAACCCACGUAUCAUUCGAUCGAUCUACGGCUUGCGCAUCCCGCCUCUCUGGCUGGCGUAGUGCCCGUCCGCUCAUUUCGUGGGUUGACUUAGGCAUACGGAGUUCAUUCCCAGUCUAAGAUCAAAUCGGAUCAAGGGUUGCAGUAGUAGGACCCGUAGCAGGAUAGGCAGCACGCAGAGGGGGAUCGGGCUGAUCCCCAGCUUGCACAUUCUCCCUCUCUGGUUGGCUGAGUGCCCGCACGCUCGUUUCAUGGGUUGACUUUGGCAUAUGGAGUUCAUCCCCAAUCUAAGAUCAAACCAGACCGAGAGUUGCGACAGCAGGACCAGCAGCAGGAUCAACAGCACGUAAGGGGGGAUCGGGCCGAUCCUCAACUUACGUAUUCUGUCUGUUCGAUCGGUUGAGCGCCCGCACGCUCGUUUUGUGGGUUGGCUUAGGCAUACGGAGUUCAUUCCAUGUCUAAGCCCCAAUCGGACCGAGGGUUGUGGCAACGGGACUGAGAGCGUGAUCGACAGCACGUAGAGGGGGACCGAGCCGAUCCCUAGCUUGCGCAUUAUGCCUCUUCGACCGGCUGAGCUCCCUCACGUUCGUUUCAUGGCUUGACUUAGGCAUACGGAGUUCAUUCCCAGUCUAAGCCCCAACUGAAUCGAGGGACCCGCAGCGAGAUCAAUAGCAUGCAGAGGGGGGCUGGGUCGAUCCUCGACUUACGUAUUUUAGCUCUCUAACCGGCUGCACGUAAGGAGGGACUGGGCCGAUCCCUAACAUGUGCAUUCUGCCUCUUCGACCGAUUGAGCUCCCGCACGCUCGUUUCGUGGGUUGGCUUAGGCAUUCAGAGUUCAUUCCAUGUAUAAGCCCCUGCUGAACCGAGGGUUGUGGCAAUGGGACCGACAGCGAGAUCGACAGCACGCAGAGGGGGACCGGGCUGAUCCCCAGCUUGCGCAUUAUGCCUCUUCAACCGGCUGAGCUCCCGUACGUUCGUUUCGUGGGUUAACUUAGGCAUAGGAGUUCAUUUCUAGUCUAAGCCCCAACGGAAUCGAGGGACCCGUAGCGAGAUCGGCAGCACGCUGAGGGGGGCUAGGCCGAUCCUCGACUUGCGCAUUUUGGCUCUCCGACCGACUGAGCGCCCGCACGUUCGUUUCAUGGGUUGACUUAGGCAUACGUAGUGCAUUCCCUGUCUCGACCAACCAAGGGCCAGAGGCUAUCGAGAACCUAUCCCUUAUAUCGGCCCCCUAUCCCUCAUCAAACCUCGAGAACUCAUACCCCCUUAAAGAGCAUUUGAGAUUUUAUAGGUUUGCUGUCAGUAGCAAUUAAAGUGUCUUAAAUGGGGACACUAUUUUCAAACGGUCACAAAUUCUUCUCCACUUCGAGUUUUUAGCUGAAUUUUUUUAUGCAUGCCACAAAAAAUACAAGGAUCAUGUCUACUAAAUUUAGGGCCAAAACUCCUUCUAAAAAAAUUUUAAAAAAUCCCGAACCAUAAAAAGUUUCAAAAAUCACGAAAAAUAGAAAAUGGGUCGUCUUGCCACGAAACUUCACAUGAAGGCUUAGGGGACCAUUGUAUGAAUUUACAAGUCAUAAAAAUGGCAUUGGCACGGCAGAAAUAUGAAGAUGUGCCUGAACCCACUUAUCACCCGAUCGAUCCACGACUUGCGCAUCCUGCCUCUCUGGCCGGCGUAGUGUCCGUUCGUUCGUUUCGUGCGUUGACUUAGGCAUACGGAGUUCAUUCCCAGUCUAAGAUUGGACCGGAUCGAGGGUUACGGUAGCAGGACCCGCAGCGGGAUCGGUAGCACACAAAGGGGGACCGAGCCAAUCCUCGGCUUGCACAUUCUGCCUCUCUAGCCGGUUGAGCACCGGCAUGCUCAUUUAAUGGGUUGACUUAGGCAUACAGAGUUCAUCCCUAGUCUAAGCAAGUCUCGUACAUUCCCAGUCUAAGAUCGAACUGGAUCGAGGGUUGCUGCAGCAGGACCAGCAGCAGGAUCGGCAGCACGUGGGGGGUAUCGGGCCGAUCCUCGACUUACGCAUUCUACCUCUCCGGUCGGUUGAGCACCCGCACGCUCGUUUCGUGGGUUGGCUUAGGCAUACGAAAUUCAUUCCAUGUCUUAGCCCCAGCCAGAUCGACGGCUGUGACAGUGGGACUGGCAGCGGGAUUGGCAGCACGCAGAGGGGGACCGGGCUGAUCCCCGGCUUGCGCAUUAUGCCUCUCCGACCGGCUCAGUGCCCACACGCUCAUUUUAUGGGUUGACUUAGGCAUACGGAGUUCAUUCCCAGUCUAAGCAUACGGAGUUCAUUCCCAGUCUAAGUAUACGGAGUUCAUUCCUAGACUAAGCAUACGGAGUUCAUUCCCAGUCUAAGAUCGGACCAGCAGUGGGAUCGACAGCAGCACGCAGAGGGGGACCAGACCGAUCCUCGGCUUACAUAUCCUACCUCUCCGGUCGACUGAGUGCCCACACGCUUAUUUCGUGGGUUGACUUAGGCAUGCGAAGUUCAUUCCCGGUCUAAGCCCCAACCAGAUGGAGGGACCUGCAGCGAGAUCGGUAGAACGCAGAGGGGGGCUGAGUCUAUCCUUGACUUGUGCAUUUUGGCUCUUCGGUUGGCUAAGCGCUCGCACGCUCAUUUCAUAGGUUGACUUAAGCAUAUGUAGUGCAUUCUCGAUCUCGACCAACUAAGGGCCAAAGGCUAUCGAGAACCUAUCCCUUAUAUUGGCCCCCUAUCCCUCAUCAAACCUCGAGAACUUACACCCCUUAAAGAGCUUUUGAGAUUUUAUAGGUUUGCUGCCAGUAGCCAUUAAAGUGUUUCAAAAUGGGGACACUCUUUUCAAAUGGUCACAAAAUCUUCUCCACUUCGAGUUUUUAGCUGAAGUUUUUUGUGCAUGCUAACAAAAAUACAAGGAUCAUGUCUACCAAAUUUGGGGCCAAAACUCCUUCUAAAAAAAGUUUAAAAAAUCCCAAACCUUAAAAAGUUUUGAAAAUCGUGAAAAAUAGAAAACGAGUCGUCUUGCCAUGAAACUUCACAUGAAGGUUUAGCGGACCAUUGUAUGAAUUUGCAAGCCAUAAAAAUGGCAUUGGCAUGGCAGAAAUAUGAAGAUGUGCCUGAACCCACCUAUCACCCGAUCGAUCCACGGCUUGCGCAUCCCGCCUCUCUAGCCGGCGUAGUGCUCGUCCGAUCGUUUCAUGGGUUGACUUAGGCAUACAGAGUUCUUUCCCAGUCUAAGAUCGGAUCGGAUCGAGGGUUGUGGCAGUAGGACCCGCAGCGGGAUCGGCAGCAUGCAAAGGGGGACCGAGCUGAUCCUUGGCUUGCACAAUCUGCCUCUCUGGCCAGCUGAGCGUCCGCACGCUCGUUUCGUUGGUUGACUUAGGCAUACGAAGUUCAUCCCCAAUCUAAGAAAGUCUCGUUCAUUUCGAGUCUAAGAUCGGAUCGGACCGAACAUUGUGGCAACAGGAUCGACAGCAUGCAGGGGGACCGGGCCGAUCCCCGACUUGCGCAUUCUACCUCUCCGGCCGGUUGAGCGCCCGCACGCUCAUUUCGUGGGUUGGCUUAGGCAUACGAAGUUCAUUCCAUGUCUAAGCCCCGGCCAGACCGAGGGUUGUGGUAGCGGGACCAGCAGCGGGAUUGACAGCACGCAGAGGGGGAUCGAGUCGAUCCCUGGCUUAUGCAUUAUGCCUCUCCGAUCGGUUCAGUGCCCGCACGCUCGUUUCGUGGGUUGACUUAGGCAUACUGAGUUCAUUCCCAGUCUAAGAUUAGACCAGCAGUGGGAUCGGUAGCAGCACGUAGAGGGGGACUGGGUCGAUCCUUGACUUACGCAUCCCGCCUCUCCAGCUGACUGAGCGCCCGCACUCUCAUUUUGUGGGUUGACUUAGGCAUGCGGAGUUCAUUCUCGGUCUAAGCCCCAACCGGACUGAAGGACCCACAGCGGGAUCGGCAACACUCAGAGGAGGGCCAGGCCGAUCCUCGGCUUGCGUAUUUUAGCGCUUCGAUUGGCUAAGCGCCCGCACGCUCGUUUCAUGGGUGACUUAGGCAUACAUAGUGCAUUCCCGAUCUCAACCAACCAAGGGCCAAGGCUAUCGAGAACCUAUCCCUUAUAUUGGCCCCAUAUUUCUCAUUAAACCUCGAGAACUCACACCCCCUGAAAGAGCAUUUGAGGUUUGUUGCACAUAUUAGCUCUAGAAUUACUACGGUUAUCUGAGUAGUAGAUACCAUCAAACAAACUAUAACUGAUUUAAUGAGCCAUUCGUAGUUUCACUGUCUGAAUUAGUUCAUACUUACACAUGCAUGGCUUAAUCUUUGAGACAAGCAUAUGACUACUGGCAGG
rnacentral:lncRNA from 1 species